rnacentral:misc_RNA from 1 species
GAUGAAGAACGCAGCGAAAUGCGAUAAGUAAUGUGAAUUGCAGAAUUCAGUGAACCAUCGAAUCUUUGAACGCACAUUGCGCCCGCCAGUAUUCUGGCGGGCAUGCCUGUCUGAGCGUCAUUUCAACCCUCAUGCCCCUAGGGCGUGGUGUUGGGGAUCGGCCAAAGCCCGCGAGGGACGGCCGGCCCCUAAAUCUAGUGGCGGACCCGUCGUGGCCUCCUCUGCGAAGUAGUGAUAUUCCGCAUCGGAGAGCGACGAGCCCCUGCCGUUAAACCCCCAACUUUCCAAGGUUGACCUCAGAUCAGGUAGGAAUACCCGCUGAACUUAAGCAUAUCAAUAAGCCGAGGA